GUAAUACUUACAAUGACACACUAAAAUUGAGAUGAUACAGAAAAGAUUAACAUGGCCACUGCACAAAGAUGGCAUGCAGAUACAUGGCAUGUUCUAUAUAAAA
rnacentral:snRNA from 1 species